ACGGUGGAAGAGAGGUCUCAAGCUUUCUUCAAAGAUUGGCUUUAUUUAUAUGUAAUGCGUGGUUGCUUGAUAGGUUUGGUUGAUAGUUGAUACUAUGUUAGGCAGCAUAGUUUUUUGUUGAGUUUUGGUGUUCUAGCUUUUAUGUAGACAAUCACCGAUGGGGGGCGGGGGGGAAGUUCACUGCUCUCUUUAUAUGUGAGUACUUCAAUACUUUGUCAACAUUAAGAUGGUUUGAAGAAGCAUGUAUGAUAAAGUCGUGUGAAUGUUUGUUGCAAUAAAAACACUAAAAUCUUGAUUGAAGUUUUUUUCUUCCAUUUGUUUAUUAGUUGAUGGUUAUAUGGCGAUUUGAUGCUAUGUUUUAUUGACAGAAGGUACUUGAUGUCGGUAAGACGAAGAUAUAAGAGUUACCUGUGAUAUUUCUUAGCACAGCAAAUGUACUGUGAAAGAAUGUUAGAAAACAUCAGGUGUCUAUGUUUUAAACUUGAUAACUGAUAGAGAAAAUAGGCUACAAGCUAAUGUUUUAUUGCUGUCAAGUUACUUGCUAGGUCCUUGUGUAGUAGAAAAUACUGACCACCUUAGAAGUCUAGUUAGUCUACUAGAGACUUCUAUUCUAACUUGACUUCUAUCUUAUUACAUCUUCAAAACUUAAAACCUAUCAUAUGAUUUUGUUCAUGCAAAACUAACUCAUACAAAAAAAAUACUACUUGCACACUAACACUAGUAGCGAAAACAUAAAUUCAUAAUUAAGUAAAUUUUCUGUUGCACCUUUCUAGAAGUUUCCUCGUCUUCUGCACCUUCCAGCAUCUUCCUGAUACUUAAAAACUAGUCAUAGAUUACUUCUUAACACCCCUUAAUAUGCUAUUUGAGCGUCAUCUCUGAACUACUUCAAUUUUUUCUAAAGCUAUUGCUUUUUUCAUCAAAUUGAAGCUCAAUCUCUUAUGAAAUGAUGUCUUAAUUCAAUAUGCUUUAAUCCUGCUAUGAAAAACAGAAUUCUUGGUCAUUGCAAUAGCUGACAUGCUAUCACAAUAAGUCAUGGUAGGCUUGCAAUCUCUUUGUUGCAUAUCUUCUAAUAUUCUUCUUAACCGAACUGCUUCACAAGCUGCAUCUGUGGCAUCAAUGUACUCUGCUUCUGUUGAAGACAAUGCGACAGAUUUUUGCUUCUUGGAAGAACAAACAACAGGCUUGGUUUCUAAGCAAAAUACAUAACCAUAUGUGCUCUUUCAAAUUUCUAUCAUUAACCAAUCUUUGUCAGUGAAUCCAACAAGCUUGUUUUCUUUUUCCUUCACAUACUUCAAUCUAAAUAUUCUAGUUGUAGUUACCUCAAUAUUUUUUUGGCAGCAAGAGAACGGACCUUUCUAGGUUUUGACAUGAACCUUGUGUUUAAAGUCACUGCAUAUAGAAUAUCUUGCCUUGUAUCAGGCAAAUAGAUAAGUGAACCAACUAGACUUCUGUAUAUAGCUGUGUCAAUUGCUACUGCACCAUCAUCUUGUUGCAACUUUUCAUUUAAUGUCACUCUUGUUGAAACAGGUUUACACUUAUCCUUUUAAAAUCUUCUAAGCGCUCCAUCCAAAUAUUUCUCUUGCGAAAUCUUUAUCUCUCCUUUAGCUUGUUGCACUUGAAUUCCAAGAACAUUCAAUCAACUUCUUACUCGUUCCUGUGUAUAUGAGAUCAUCUGCAUAGAGACAAAUUAGCAAGAAAUCUUCAUUUCUUCAUGCUUGACAUAUAGAGAAGCUUCACUAGCACUUUUCUGAACCCUAAAUUUUGGAAAUAUAUAUCAAUCUUGCUCUUCCAAGUCCUUGGCGCUUGCUUCGGACCAUACAAUGCAUUCUUUAUCCUGUAUACUUUAUAUUCAUGUCCUUUUCUAACAUAGCAUUUAAGUUGUUCCACAUACACCUCUUCUAAUAGCUUGCCAUUGAGAAAUUCAUGUUUGACAUCAAACUGUAAACAUGAAGUUCAUAUUGAGCAGCCAAUGCUAAGAAGUAAUAUGUGAUUAGUUUUAAGUAUUGAGAAGAUGCUUGGACGGUGCUGAAGACAAGGAAACUUUUAGGGAUGUGCAACAUAUAUUUUAUUUAGUUAUGAAGUUUAUGUUUUGUCUACUAGGAUUAUUGUGCAAGUUUUAUUUGUUUUGUAUGGAUUGAUUUUGCAUGAACAAACCAAUCAUAUUAUAGAUUUUAAAUUUUGAUGA